UAUUUUAUUUAGUGAGGAGAACUCAGUAAAUUUGUCAGCAAAGUUGGCUGAUGCUAGCUUCAUUUCUUCCACCUCCAAAAAUUUUUGUCAAGUUUCCGCAGAACAAUGCAAAGUCACCAAAAAAGAUUUUUAAAAAACCCCUCGUAUUCCAUGUCAGUACGGCCUAAAAGUAUAUUUUGAGCUUCCUCCUGUUCUCUGUAAUAAAAUUACCGCAUUGUAAAACAUGUUCAUUCAUAGAAUCAAUUGGCUUCAACAAUCUUAAGCGUCUCUCAGUUGCCUAAGUUUCCACAAAUUACAUUUUGCACGUAAAACUUCAAGAGCUUCUUUAAUGAACCACCAUCAUAAUUGGCAUUUUCUUUCCACAAAUAUUGUGUAUGGUCAUGCUCUAAAUUCCAUCCCGUUAAGAGCUGGAUGAUUCAGCAUUUCCAGAAGAGCUUCUGAGAGUGAGGCUGGCAGUCAAAUGUAGGAAUCAAAGACAGCGUGUGUACCUUAAAGAAAACCCACUUCAACUCCUAUUUAAUAUUACUGAGAGCCAUCACAUUUCUCUUUGACAAGAUUGUUUGCCUAAAGGUUUCUUGAGAGAGAAAGCCAUGGGAUUAAUUUACUUCUGCCAUCAUGAUUGACUGCACAGCAGCUGUCAGGCAACUGAAGUGUCUCCAAUCUCCAUCGCAAAUUACUCUAAGUGGUUUUUAAAAUAAACUUGCCAAGCCUGUUAAUGCCUAGCAGCUCCGACAGGGAAAUGCACAAUUGACUUAAAUCAAAAACAAGUGGAUCCGUUUGGGGUCUUCCUAAUGAAACUGCCUUGGUGCCUUUUUUUGUUGAUGCUCAAGAAACCACAGAUAAAUCACGUAAUCUUGAAAAUAAGGAAACUGUUAUAUGCACACUUCUAUGUAGUUCAUGAUUUAGCAGCAUAAAGCUGAACUUGUCUAAAGCAACAGACUGCAAAGGAAGGCUACCAUAGGUAAAUGUUAAUCAAAAAUUUAGUCCCGUAAUGUUGUAAAUUCGUUUCCUUCAAUUGUUCUUAAUGCAGAUAAAUCCCAAGGAAGAGUAAUGUCUUUCUCUGCUCCACUUUUUCAGAGGCGCUCACUUGGUUUAAGAUGAAAAAGUUACGGUGACUGCCCUCCAGAGCGACAACCUAGAAAAAGGAGAGACGUGGUGGGAGAGCGAGAAGACGGCGGGUGCAGCGCCAGGAGGCUGUGGCACCAAGUAGCGCGACCUCGAAAUCAGAGUGCAGGACCCAGAACAGAGCGGCGGGUGCGGGACCGCAAAGCUUCGGUCACAGACUUUGGGCUUCACCACCAUGUGACUUGCUUUGAUCAAUGGAAUGUGAGUGGAUGUGAUAGUAUUCCAGUUCCUAAACGAGACUUUAUGAUGUGAUGUGUGUUACCAACUGCUUUCUUGCACUCCUGCUCUGCACCAAGAGAAUAUCCCAAGUAGGUGGCACUCUUUCGACUUUGGCCCUGGAAUGAAAAGACACAUGGAGCAGACCUGAACCUACCUGCAGCCUCGAUUAGAACUGUAGCAGCAAUGUGUGAUGAAAAGGAAGGAGAAAUAAAUGCUGGUUUUUGUAAGUCACUGAGAUUCUUGAGGUUAUUUGUUACACAGCAAAACCUAAUGAAAGCAGACUAAGAUGCUAAGUAAACAGAUCAGAGGCAAUGGACAACAUGCUUCUUCCAAAUGUAACAUAAACUGUCUUCAUAAUCCAAAGAGGACCACCAUGCCGUGUGUUGUGCCUUCUUCUCCAUGGUAAGGGACAGCAGAUAUAGAAUUGUCCUUUAGUUUGGAAAUAAUAUCCCAACAUAGUAUAAACCAUUCAUUUCACAGAAAUGUCAUAAUAUCCAACUGCAGAAUUUUUGUAGAAGUUAUCUCCUACUCCUUGAACCAAAACGUCUGAGAUAUCUCUCAUUUCCUUUAUCCCAGGCCCAUCACCUUGACAUCAUCAAUCUAAUAAACCCAGACAGUGCCUACU
ensembl:lncRNA